CAAAGAUUGGGAUCAGGUUCAGCAGCUCAGUGUCCGCCAUGUCAUCAAACCAAGACUGCACAGGCACCUGGGGCAGGAAAAGGUCGUGUCACUCCCUGCUCAAAGAGCACGUGCCUGCCAUGACCCUCCUCCUGGAGGGGGCCUGGAUUGGCCAUCUAUUCACUAGACCCCUCCCAGCUCUGCAGCAGGAACCACAACCUUCAAGGAGUCCUUCCCUCUUCCUGGCUAUUCAUCAACUUGGCAUCCUCUCAUCAUUCUUUGCAGAAAACCCACCUUCUGCAAACAGACACUCCCCCCAUCGCUCAUUUUAAUCUCAUCCCUUUCUGUUAUUCACACCUCUCCUUGUUAACCAGGUUUCACCGAAAUAUACUGUGAAAUUUGCCUGUU